rnacentral:lncRNA from 1 species
GCUUUAAUCAACUUAAAGAUAAGAUUAUUUCAGAUUUGGAAAAUGAAGUCCAUUCUACUCAAUGGAAUAUUGCGUUGCCAAGGCAAAUAAUUGAUUAUACUUUCUGAUAAUGCUCUUUUCAUCUAUUUCAGGUAGUACUAUUAUUGCAACUGUAAUGAUUUGGAGCUAUAAAUUAUGGAAGAUUUAUGUACAGGUUUCAGUAGAGGUGGCAUCCAGGGGAACUUCGUUGAUGUCCCUCACAGAUGUCACUGCUGACUCAUAUAGGUUUAGAGGUGAGCAAGGGGGAGUUGCAGCCUAAUGCAUCACUCUCUGCAACCAUACAGAAACAGAGCAGAUGCUGAAAUCUUUGAAUGCCUUAUGUUGUCACAGUCUGUAAUCAGCAGAUUUUGCUCUCUUGACUGGUGAUGUUACAUUCAUAUAUUGCCUAGAGGCCACAAAGCAAGAAGAAGAAGCGAAUAUGUUGCUUGUCAGCCUGCAAUUUGUCUGUAUUGGCACUUCACCAUAUAUCUUUCAUCAGAUGUACUCAUUUUGGGAAAAUUGUUUUGUUUUGUGAUUCCUCUCAUAUUAAUAUGCCACAGUUCCAGGUUUGUACCUCUUGCACUGCUAUGAAUGGCAUAGUAUAUUAAUUCUUGUUAAG